rnacentral:rRNA from 2 species
UACAUUUGAGUGAGUGGCGAACUGGUGAGUAACACGUGGGAAACCUGCCCAGAAGCGGGGGAUAACACCUGGAAACAGAUGCUAAUACCGCAUAACAACUUGGACCGCAUGGUCCGAGUUUGAAAGAUGGCUUCGGCUAUCACUUUUGGAUGGUCCCGCGGCGUAUUAGCUAGAUGGUGRGGUAACGGCUCACCAUGGCAAUGAUACGUAGCCGACCUGAGAGGGUAAUCGGCCACAUUGGGACUGAGACACGGCCCAAACUCCUACGGGAGGCAGCAGUAGGGAAUCUUCCACAAUGGACGAAAGUCUGAUGGAGCAACGCCGCGUGAGUGAAGAAGGGUUUCGGCUCGUAAAACUCUGUUGUUAAAGAAGAACAUAUCUGAGAGUAACUGUUCAGGUAUUGACGGUAUUUAACCAGAAAGCCACGGCUAACUACGUGCCAGCAGCCGCGGUAAUACGUAGGUGGCAAGCGUUGUCCGGAUUUAUUGGGCGUAAAGCGAGCGCAGGCGGUUUUUUAAGUCUGAUGUGAAAGCCUUCGGCUCAACCGAAGAAGUGCAUCGGAAACUGGGAAACUUGAGUGCAGAAGAGGACAGUGGAACUCCAUGUGUAGCGGUGAAAUGCGUAGAUAUAUGGAAGAACACCAGUGGCGAAGGCGGCUGUCUGGUCUGUAACUGACGCUGAGGCUCGAAAGUAUGGGUAGCAAACAGGAUUAGAUACCCUGGUAGUCCAUACCGUAAACGAUGAAUGCUAAGUGUUGGAGGGUUUCCGCCCUUCAGUGCUGCAGCUAACGCAUUAAGCAUUCCGCCUGGGGAGUACGGCCGCAAGGCUGAAACUCAAAGGAAUUGACGGGGGCCCGCACAAGCGGUGGAGCAUGUGGUUUAAUUCGAAGCUACGCGAAGAACCUUACCAGGUCUUGACAUACUAUGCAAAUCUAAGAGAUUAGACGUUCCCUUCGGGGACAUGGAUACAGGUGGUGCAUGGUUGUCGUCAGCUCGUGUCGUGAGAUGUUGGGUUAAGUCCCGCAACGAGCGCAACCCUUAUUAUCAGUUGCCAGCAUUAAGUUGGGCACUCUGGUGAGACUGCCGGUGACAAACCGGAGGAAGGUGGGGAUGACGUCAAAUCAUCAUGCCCCUUAUGACCUGGGCUACACACGUGCUACAAUGGAUGGUACAACGAGUUGCGAACUCGCGAGAGUAAGCUAAUCUCUUAAAGCCAUUCUCAGUUCGGAUUGUAGGCUGCAACUCGCCUACAUGAAGUCGGAAUCGCUAGUAAUCGCGGAUCAGCAUGCCGCGGUGAAUACGUUCCCGGGCCUUGUACACACCGCCCGUCACACCAUGAGAGUUUGUAACA